UGCGGAAGGAUCAUUACCUAUUGCGAAAGAAGGAAGCGGCAUUGUGAUGUCAGCCCAGGCCAGGAGGCAUGUCGACUCGACCCGGCCCCCAAUGACGCCGUGCACUGAAUGGCGUUGCUUUGCCGCUUCUUUUCCCAAAUGCAAUCUCCCUUCAGUGUACACAUACUCUAAGUUGCUUCCCGCUGGUUGGAUAACAUCCUGCGGGGAGGAGAAUUCAACUCUGGUAGUGCUGUUCUUCGUCUGAGUGGUUAGCACACUAAACAAGUUAAAACUUUCAACAACGGAUCUCUUGGUUCUCGCAUCGAUGAAGAACGCAGCGAAAUGCGAUAAGUAGUGUGAAUUGCAGAAUUCAGUGAAUCAUCGAAUCUUUGAACGCACAUUGCGCCUCCUGGUAUUCCGGGAGGCAUGCCUGUUCGAGCGUCAUCAAACACAUUCUCAAGCGUCUUUUUGCUUGGUAUUGGGAGAAGAUCGCAUGAUCCCUCCUGGAAUCCCUCAGCGGAAAGCCCCUUGUUACGGCCACAGGUGUGAUAAAUACUGUUCACCAGGUGACUGUCGAGGUGGUCUUGCUGUUAAGAGCCCCCCAGCUCCCCAUAAGUUUGACCUCGAAUCAGGUAGGGAUACCCGCUGAACUUAAGCAUAUC
rnacentral:rRNA from 1 species